rnacentral:misc_RNA from 1 species
GUGAAUCAUCAAAUUUUUGAACGCAAAUUGCACUCUCUGGUAUUCCGGAGAGUAUGCCUGGUUGAGGGACAGUGUAAAUAAAAAUCGGUGUGGUUGCUGCCUUUCGUGGUGACGCACCGGAUUUGGGUUGGCUUGGCUUCGGUUAAGUGACCUAAAAUUUUGCAUGAUUUUUUCGAACGUAUUUAAAUGACUUUACGUACGUUUGCGAUAUCGAUUACUAGGAGUGGUCAUCUUCAUGAGUCGU